rnacentral:rRNA from 1 species
CCUACGGGAGGCAGCAGUGAGGAAUAUUGGUCAAUGGCCGGAAGGCUGAACGAGCCAUGCCGCGUGAAGGUCAGUGCCCUAUGGGCGUUAAACUUCUUUUGUGCGGGAGCAAUAAUGGUCACGUGUGGCCAGACGAGAGUACCGUACGAAUAAGCAUCGGCUAACUCCGUGCCAGCAGCCGCGGUAAUACGGGGGAUGCAAGCGUUAUCCGGAUUUAUUGGGUUUAAAGGGUGCGUAGGCUGUGAGGUAAGUCAGCGGUGAAAUGCCCCCGCUCAACGGGGUGAAGUGCCAUUGAUACUGCCUGGCUGGAAUGCGGAUGCCGUGGGAGGAAUGUGUGGUGUAGCGGUGAAAUGCAUAGAUAUCACACAGAACACCGAUUGCGAAGGCAUCUCACGAAUCCGCGAUUGACGCUGAUGCACGAAAGCGUGGGUAUCAAACAGGAUUAGAUACCCCAGUAGUC